UCUGUCUCGAGACAUGAGCCUUGCAAAAGC
rnacentral:piRNA from 1 species